rnacentral:misc_RNA from 1 species
AAUAUGCAUACAUAUAACGUGUCCGGUUUAACCGAGAACAGUUAAAUACAUACCUCAAAUAUAUGAAUCAUACAAAAAAAUAUUUCAGACAAGAAUCGUAUGAUACUGAGGUGGACGUACUAUGUAAGCGUACCCUUGUUUAUUUGACCUUCCGAUCACCUAUAAAUGGGUUUUGGAGGCCGUAUUAAAUUUAACAAAUAGAAACUUACAUUUUUUAUUACAUAUCCUUGUAUGUAGUUGAUAUAGAGGCGUUUUCAAAACUGCGAACUCGUGUUUCUCGCAUCACCCAUCAUCGGAGUAUGACCUUGCAAAUUCGACAUGUCGACGGCAUUAGCGUCAUUCGAUGUACACCACAGGGUCACAUAAACACGUUUUUCAUAAUGUUAUCACUGGUAUGGCUUGCCUGUAUUGCUCUGUCGAAUUCGAAAGUUCAUA